UAUGCGGGGAGCAGAGUAAACAAACAAGGAAACGGAGCAGAGAAAUUAACGGGGAAAAUACUCUUACAAUUACUGAAUUAGAACCUGAAAAAUAACGUCUACCUGGAAGCCAUAUUUAAUUUGGCUAUAACGGUUUUUGGUCGGGUUUUUUUUGCUCUUGCUUGAAGUUUUGAGUGAAGAUUCUUUGGCUGCAUCUGGGGGACACACACACAAGAAACAAGAUGGCGAGCCAAACCCGCAACUACUUUGUUAAAGAGAAAGAUGUGACCCCAUGAAAACAAACUGAGCUAAUAAACAGAGUCUUUGUGUCGGGGCAGACUCCACAUUUCUGCUGCACAAAGGGAAACGCUGACUUUUGUAAUAGCCACAGCAACCAGACCCCAUUUCCCCAGGUGUCAUGGAAGUGUCAGGGGGUCACAGAGGGAUCCAAUCUGAGGAUCAUCAUACUGUGAGAAUGUGCAGUAGAGAACAUGGUGUCUCCCCCCUCACACCAGCUCUGAAUCUAUAUAUAGUGUGUGUCUGCUGGUGGCAAAGCAGCAGCAGAGAGCAGAGAGCAGUGCCCCAGCGUCUGCAGGGACCAGUGGAGUGAAGAGAUCCUGAAACAUUGAUGUGGAAGGCACCCAUGUACUUGUCCCUGGUACUGCACGGUUCCUCAAACACCUCCAGCGUUGUGUAGUAAAAUAUGUCAGAGUGAGACACCGUCAUGCUGAAUAAGUCAUAGCUCUCUAUUUACUAUUUAUCCUGUUAUAAUAAAAAGGGGAGGUGGAUGUUCUGGGCUGGAAUGAAAGAAGCAGCUCAUCUAGCAGAACACUGUUUUGCUUGUGAUUUUGCUUGAAUUCCCCACGGCUAACCAAAGCAUUUGGCUAACUGCAGUCAUGUGGUGUGCCAUAGUUAGCCAUAAAUGCACAAAUAAUAAGAUUUAUAGUGAGAGUUCCCCAGCGAGGGCACUGAACCGCUCAGAGUCCAGCUGUGACAAAACUGUGACGGCGUACCGAGAGGAUCUUAUUAAAUUUCUAUGAUGGACCCUUAAGACGUCUGGUUCCCCCUCCCUGAUGAUGUGUGACAGCUGCCAAGUUUUUUCCUCUUUUUUUUUCAUAUCUUGUCACAUGCUGAUUGGAGAAUUAUUGCUGUGCAAAAGAAGGAGAAAACUGACACAUUGAUCCAAGUGCGCAAGUGACUGUACUUUUACACUUUGAAUGGACCUGCUAUAGUACUGAUAUAUUUUAUAAACAUAGUACUGCUGGUGUAGUUGCUGAGAUUCAUCUUUUAUGAAAUAUCAGGUAUCUCUUUGAAGAAAAAAAACAAUAACCACAAAUGUGCGAUACCCACUUUCACCUCAGUGAAUGGGAAUUUAUCCAAAAGUAUAAGAAGAUCUUGUUGCAAAAGUGUGUUUGUUUCUGGGUGGUGGUUUUCUGGGUGUCUACCUCAUAACAGAGUAAAUAUUAAACAGCCUUGAGGUUUUUUCACCUGAAAAGAGUAAAACAAAUCAUCUGAUUCAUCUGCUUUUUCAAAUUAGCUUCACUCUGAAACUAUGAAAUCAAAAAUACUGCAAACAAUCUCCCUCAUCAAGUCCAUUUAGUCUGUAAUUGUAUUCUUCAAAUGUUCAUCACCAUCGCUAAUCAGAUUGUUUCAUCCCAUUUCUAAAGUCCUGUUUCAUUUUUCUUCAUUCUACUGCAGCACAUUUACUCUUUUGUUUUUCAAGCUGUAACAUUCCUUGAAAACUUGGAUUUAUGUUGAAAUAACAUACU